rnacentral:sRNA from 1 species
CGCCUCCUCCUCCUCCACUCCCCCCCUUUAUUACCCUUUGUGUCAUCCUCCACAGCUCCAGGGAAGGCACUCAAAAGUGGGGGGCAGGAAAGGAUCGUUAAACACCAGUUCACGGGGAGUUGGAGGGCUGACGACACUACAGAAUCUGGACUCUAUGACUUGUUUUGGGAGUAACAGGAGGGUGUGAUGAGGAAUUUCUGUGAAGGUGACUUCUGGAUCCUCAGCUUCAAUUACUGAAACUAUGGAGAGACA